CCAUCACUCUAAAUGCAGCACAAACAUGUUCUCUUCAGCUCCACUGCUGCUGCUGGCUGCUGCCUCGUAUGUGUUCUGUGCUACUGAGCUCAUCCAGCCAGACUCAGUGCUCAUCAAACCAGCAGAGUCUUUAACCAUCACCUGUACAGUAUCUGGAGCUUCUAUCACUGACCGCAGCAGCCAUUAUGCAACAGCCUGGAUCCGACAACCUGCAGGGAAAGCUCUGGAAUGGAUCAACAGGAUUGGUUAUGAUGGGCACAUACAUGCUAAAGAUUCACUGAAAAGCAAGUUUAGUGUCUCUCGAGACACAACCAGAAACACAGUAACCCUACAAGGACAGAACCUGCAAGCUGAAGACACAGCUGUGUAUUACUGUGCUCGACAUGAUCACAGUGCUUACAGAUUAUUCAACAUUAGAGCUCUACAGAGAUUCUAUGAAAUGGCUUAUGGAUAA